AAUCAACGCUGGCGGCGUGCCUAACACAUGCAAGUCGCACGAGAAAGGGACUUCGGUCCUGAGUACAGUGGCGCACGGGUGAGUAACACGUGAAUAAUCUACCUUCGAGUGGGGAAUAACUGAGAGAAAUCUCAGCUAAUACCGCAUAAUACCCACGGGUCAAAGCAGCAAUGCGCUUGAAGAGGAGUUCGCGGCAGAUUAGUUAGUUGGCAGGGGUAAUGGCCUACCAAGACGAUGAUCUGUAUCCGGCCUGAGAGGGCGCACGGGACACACUGGAACUGAAACACGGUCCAGGACUCCUACGGGAGGCAGCAGUGGGGAAUUUUGCGCAAGUGGGGAAACCCUGACGCAGCAACGCCGCGUGGAGGAUGAAAUCCCUUGGGAUGUAAACUCCUUACGAUCGGGAAGAUAAUGACGGUACCGAGAGAAG
rnacentral:rRNA from 1 species